rnacentral:rRNA from 1 species
GAUGAACGCUGGCGGCGUGCCUAAUACAUGCAAGUCGAGCGAACGGACGAGAAGCUUGCUUCUCUGAUGUUAGCGGCGGACGGGUGAGUAACACGUGGAUAACCUACCUAUAAGACUGGGAUAACUUCGGGAAACCGGAGCUAAUACCGGAUAAUAUUUUGAACCGCAUGGUUCAAAAGUGAAAGACGGUCUUGCUGUCCCUUAUAGAUGGAUCCGCGCUGCAUUAGCUAGUUGGUAAGGUAACGGCUUACCAAGGCAACGAUGCAUAGCCGACCUGAGAGGGUGAUCGGCGACACGGGAAGUGAGACACGGUACGGAGUCCGACGGGAGGCAGCAGUAGGGAAUCUUCCGAAAUGGGCGAAAGCCUGACGGAGCAACGCAGCGUGAGUGAUGCGGGUCUUCGGAUCGUAAAACUCUGUUAUUAGGGAAGAACAUAUGUGUAAGUAACUGUGCACAUCUUGACGGUACCUAAUCAGAAAGCCACGGCUAACUACGUG